GGUCUAUCAAGGAAAUGAGUUAAACCUGUGCUCACAUCACACAAUAAAGGCUGGAGCCCAGCUGAGUUGGCACAGGUAAAAGUGAUGUUGGUAAAAAGAAGUGAGUGAAGAUAGUUUAGGUGCUCUUUAGGAUGGGAUAGAAAUAUAGAAAAAUAUUACUAAAAAGAAUUUUGUUUUUUCUCUCUUUUUUUUUUUUUUUGAAAUUUUUUAUGUUGUUAAUGCAGUGCAUUUGAGGUAACUGCAGACCAUGGAGUGUGUUGGUGUUCAGGGAAUAUACCUUGACAGCAAAAGCAGUAGAUAAACUGGUGGAAGGAGUCCUUACACAGAGAAGAGUUCUAAAAUCACAGGUGAAAAGUUGAAGAGCCGUUCCACUAAGCUACGAAAGGUCUCCUGCAAAAAGCAAGGAAGAAUAUCUUUAAUGUUUUUUGGUACUGAAGAAGAACAUUUCCAGAGCUGAUAUUCAUUAGAAAUAAGUGGUUUGAAGUGAUCGGUCUCUGUCAUGUUUCUGGACGGGCUGACUCAGCUGCUUCAGUGAAGAGUAAGCAGCUUCAGGAAGGAGAGAGGACCGUCCUCUCUGUCUCCGUCUGUGCAUCUGAAGAUCCAGAGCAGACUCUGCAGUUAUUUGCUGAUGUUUUUACGAAGUUGUGCGUCUUCUGGGCCGGCGGGAGCCGCGGUUGGGCAGCAGGGGGCAGGAGCGCUCCAGAAAUCCCCGCUGCGCUCCGGCGCUGCCCGCUGCUGCGUGACCCGGCACGGGGAGGAGGGAGCGGGGCUGCUGCUGAGGAGGAGCCUUUGGGAUGGGCGUCCUCCUCCAAGCUGCGCUGCUCUUGGGAAAGACCUUCUGAGAGUGCAAGUUUGGGAAAGGGAGUGAAGAUGUUUUUGGUCCGAAGCGAGGCUUCUUGGGGGGUUGUGAAUGGGGAUUUUAACGGGCACGGCCCGUUUUUCUGCUGCGUCUUCAUUUAGGAAAUGAAUAUGCGGGGAGAUGAGGGCGAGGGUGAAGAGUACUACCUGGCCCUUCCCAGACCUCGGUAUUGACAGAGAGGAUAAUUAGCCGUUUAUUAUACUUUUACAUAUGUUUUGCUUCAAGGACGUGGGAUCUCGUGUUAAUCACAUACGUCGCUUGUUCUUAUUUCCUGAGUGGGUGACUGAAAGAGGAAAUUAAAUUGUGCAGAAUUGCAUGUAUUACUGAUAGCACAGAAAAAGAGCACUCUCUACACGGGGAGCCCAAACUGUUAAAGGCCUGUGCUGCUUAAAGGUAACUAAUGAUUCCUAGCUGUGAUAAAAGUCUGAGGAUUUAGAAGACAAGGUUGUUAGGGAGAGGUAAUAAGCUCUAGGAGAUUAGCUCUUAAAACUGGAAAUGAAGACAGCCUUUUGGGCUCACAGGUACUUCUAUUCCAUACAGGGGGUAUAUAAGCAUAGCUUUCUGUUACUCGUACUAUGGGAGGAGUCAUGUAUGCACCUGCUGUGGUUUAACCCUGGCAGGCAGGUUCACACUACACCGCUGCUCACUCACUCCCUGCAGUGGGAUGGGAAAUAAUCCAGGAACUUGUGGAUUGAGAUGCAGACAAUUCGCUAGGUAAAGCAAAUCUGCACGCACAAGCAAAGCUAAACGAGGAAUUCAUUUACUGCUUCCCACCAUCAGGCAGUUCAGCAAUCGCGUUUCUUGGGAAGACAAAUGCCGUCUCGCCAAGCAUCAGCCCCUUCCUUGUCCUUUCCCCCAGCUUUUAUUGUUGAGCAUGAUGUCCUAUGGCAUGGGAUGUCCCUUUGGGCAGUCUGGGUCAGCUGUCCUGGCUGUGUCCCCUCCCAGCUGCUGUUGCUCCUUGCUGGAAGGGCAGUUUGACUAAUGCAGAAGUCCUUGAUGCUGUGCAAGCACUGCUCAGCAACAACUAAAACAUCAGGAUGUUAUCAACACUGUUUUCAUUACAGGGCCACAUAAGCUGCUGCAGAGAAAACUAACUCUGUCCCAGGCCAAAACAGUGCAGGACCACAUAUUUUUGUAAGACAACUAUUUUCUGUGUUGUUAAUGCUGCACCAUCACUACUUACAUUGGUGUAACUUGCAUAGAGACCUGCUUUGCUGUAGUGGAAUGUAGGGGCUCCUGAGUUUGUCCAGCUAAUUUGAGACGUUCCUGCAGACCUCCACCUUCACUGCCUGCCUUACUCAACUCAGCAUGGAUAUAUACACCUCCUAAAGCUGUCAUCCAGACCCUGAGCUGUGCCCUUCAAAAAGUGUUGCUCAUUGCAAGGCCUGAAGGUAGCGUCAAGGAUUGAAAGUUAUGGUUAUAUUUUCCUGUCUGUUGGGAUUUUCUGAAUAUCCACUGUUAAAGUUUUAGACCAGUAAUGUUGUCAUCCAUUUGGAUGUGGAAUUAUAUUACCAGGAAGCUGGUUUUGUUUUUUGUAGAUUCAUUAAACUGACCAGUGAGGAAAAAGGGAGAGAAGGCACUUAAAUGUCAUCCAAUACUAAAAUAAGACAACUGGAUAUUUUUAUUUGACGAAAUUGUGCAAUUCUUCUUUUAUGGCUCCCAGUCAAUGGUCUUCAAAGUCAACAGCAUUCUUUGAAUCAAACCCUAUGGCCUUUUAAAAAGAAGCUCUGCACAUUAAUGUAAUCUGGUUUAGGAACUCUACUUUUCCAGGCCGAUGUGCUGAAUGUGUCUCCUCUUAACAUUAAUAAAGGCAUAUGGCAAGAGAGGAAAGAACUGCAGAAGCAGCCUCCCUGUUUCGUGCUAGGAGUUGUGAUGCUUGGAGAGUACACAUACAAACAGCGAGCUCCUCGAGAAGCCUACCACUGCUUCUGCUAGCUGUGGGGAAAAAUCAGAGGCCAGAAGUUGAUUCUAUUUUUGUCCAAACAGCCUGUGGAAAGCAAGACAAAGUUUCCUGUGAGAUCAUGCUGCUUCUGAAGCCUCCUGAGCCUGCCAGCUGACUAUGGAAAGGCAACAAAUAACUAGUCUUCCUCUCUUGUUGCGUGUGCGUGGCUGUUAGGCAAGAGCAACACAAAUGGACAACGGCACUCAUGAGCAAGGCAGCGUUUUUCCCGUGAUCCUGUGCUUAGGUGAAUAGCGAUGUUUCUUAGGGAUCUGUUUCUCACAUAGGCUGGAAAGGACAAAUAGUAGAGACAGGAGGUGACAUUUAUAGCUUGCUGUGUCAGCAGGAGGCAGUGGGUUGCACUCGUGGCACCAAUGGCUGCUCAUCAGUAAGCAAAAUUGUCCAGACUUUUCCCAUUACAUAAAACAUUAUCCUAAAAUUGCCACAAUUUCUUGUCAGGGUGUUUUUGUAGCCUUGCUGUAAUCCUGGAACACCAGAAUCUAUGAUUUACAGAUAUUUUCAGACCAAGAACCUACAGCUCAGAAACAACCCCUCAUUUUCAAUCAGAGUUGUAGCUCAGAAAAUUUUCCCAUGCUUUAAUCCACUGAUGGCCUUUUACCCAUCCAGGUGACAUUGUAGAGCUAGUGAUAUCAUCCCUGCCCAAAACACACACUGGAGCAAGGUCCAGCAACCCCGGUCUGUCUGAGAGGAUGGAUGUUUGUCCUGCUAGCCUAUAAGAAGUUAUGCUAAGCAACAUGCUGACCAUGCCUUGGGGUGCUAUUGUCUGACACCUUCCUUGACUUUCCUCAACAAUCUUCCAAUUUCUCUAUAUGUUGGUUCCCUUCAACAGCAGAUGCUACUGAUUAAAUCCACAGUCACACAAUUCUUCA
ensembl:lncRNA